GGUGGAUGCCCUGGCAGUCAGAGGCGAUGAAGGGCGUGCUAAUCUGCGAUAAGCGCCGGUAAGGUGAUAUGAACCGUUAUAACCGGCGAUACCCGAAUGGGGAAACCCAGUGUGACUCGUCACACUAUCAUUAACUGAAUCCAUAGGUUAAUGAGGCGAACCGGGGGAACUGAAACAUCUAAGUACCCCGAGGAAAAGAAAUCAACCGAGAUUCCCCCAGUAGCGGCGAGCGAACGGGGAGGAGCCCAGAGCCUGAAUCAGCAUGUGUGUUAGUGGAAGCGUCUGGAAAGGCGCGCGAUACAGGGUGACAGCCCCGUACACAAAAGCGCAUGUGCUGUGAGCUCGAUGAGUAGGGCGGGACACGUGGUAUCCUGUCUGAAUAUGGGGGGACCAUCCUCCAAGGCUAAAUACUCCUGACUGACCGAUAGUGAACCAGUACCGUGAGGGAAAGGCGAAAAGAACCCCGGCGAGGGGAGUGAAAAAGAACCUGAAACCGU
rnacentral:rRNA from 2 species